rnacentral:rRNA from 1 species
UACGAAGGGGGCUAGCGUUGCUCGGAAUCACUGGGCGUAAAGCGCACGUAGGUGGGUCGUUAAGUCGGGGGUGAAACCUGGAGCUCAACUCCAGAACUGCCUUCGAUACUGGCGAUCUUCGAGUCCGGGAGAGGUGAGUGGAACUGCGAGUGUAGAGGUGAAAUUCGUAGAUAUUAGGGAAGAACACCAGUGGCGAAGGCGGCUUACUG